UGCUCUCGGGUGACGAGUGGCGGACGGGUGAGUAAUGUCUGGGAAACUGCCUGAUGGAGGGGGAUAACUACUGGAAACGGUAGCUAAUACCGCAUAACGUCGCAAGACCAAAGAGGGGGACCUUCGGGCCUCUUGCCAUCAGAUGUGCCCAGAUGGGAUUAGCUAGUAGGUGGGGUAACGGCUCACCUAGGCGACGAUCCCUAGCUGGUCUGAGAGGAUGACCAGCCACACUGGAACUGARACACGGUCCARACUCCUACGGGAGGCAGCAGUGGGGAAUAUUGCACAAUGGGCGCAAGCCUGAUGCAGCCAUGCCGCGUGUAUGAAGAAGGCCUUCGGGUUGUAAAGUACUUUCAGCGGGGAGGAAGGCGAUAAGGUUAAUAACCUUGUCGAUUGACGUUACCCGCAGAAGAAGCACCGGCUAACUCCGUGCCAGCAGCCGCGGUAAUACGGAGGGUGCAAGCGUUUAUCGGAAUUACUGGGCGUAAAGCGCACGCAGGCGGUCUGUCAAGUCGGAUGUGAAAUCCCCGGGCUCAACCUGGGAACUGCAUUCGAAACUGGCAGGCUGGAGUCUUGUAGAGGGGGGUAGAAUUCCGGGUGUAGCGGUGAAAUGCGUAGAGAUCUGGAGGAAUACCGGUGGCGAAGGCGGCC
rnacentral:rRNA from 1 species